rnacentral:rRNA from 1 species
GCGUGGAGCAUGUGGCUUAAUUUGACUCAACGCGGGAAAUCUUACCGGGUCCGGACACACUGAGGAUUGACAGGCAAUAUAUGUGACUCUUCGGAGUUUGCAUUGUUAAAUAUGCUAGUCCUUUCAUGAUUAUGUGAUAGGUGGUGCAUGGCCGUUCUUAGUUCGUGGAGUGAUCUGUCUGCUUAAUUGCGUUUCAAAUUACUUAUAAGGUAGCAAUACGCGAUGAAGCUUUCAAUAGUCCUCACGGAUUCACUUGAGUCUCUCGCUUCGCUAUCCUUUCGAAUGCAACGAACGUGACCGCAACCUCUUGUUGCCUUCGUUUAACAUCCUGCAGCUCGCUGUGGGUACUGAGGGCUUCACUCGGUGACUUUGGGCUGAGCAAUCGGUCUCUUUUGAUCUGAGNAAACUANAGGGACCGCUGUCAACUUCUUAAACCANAGNAAGGUUGCGGCAAUAACAGGUCUGUGA